GACGAACGCUGGCGGCGCGCCUAACACAUGCAAGUCGAACGAGCGAGAGAGAGCUUGCUUUCUUGAGCGAGUGGCGAACGGGUGAGUAACGCGUGAGGAACCUGCCUCAAAGAGGGGGACAUCAGUUUGAAACGACUGCUAAUACCGCAUAAGCCCACGGUGCCGUAUGGCACCGAGGGAAAAGGAACAAUCCGCUUUGAGAUGGCCUCGCGUCCGAUUAGCUAGUUGGUGAGGUAACGGCCCACCAAGGCGACGAUCGGUAGCCGGACUGAGAGGUUGAACGGCCACAUUGGGACUGAGACACGGCCCAGACUCCUACGGGAGGCAGCAGUGGGGAAUAUUGCACAAUGGGGGAAACCCUGAUGCAGCGACGCCGCGUGAAGGAAGAAGGUCUUAGGAUUGUAAACUCCUGUUGUUGGGGAAGAUAAUGACGGUACCAAACAAGGAAGUGACGGCUAACUACGUG
rnacentral:rRNA from 1 species